GGAUAAUCAGGGAAGACCACUCCAGCUGGAGGGAGUUACUGGUGCAAAUGUCAGAGUGCCCAAGCAUGCCAAGAAGAAGAAAAGUCAUUACUGUAUGAGCAUUAACAUAGGUGGUUCUAAAUCACAUCACAGCUGUCAUUCUUGUUGUGUCAGUCAAGGAAUCUGAUGAAACAUAGAACAAUUUCAGACAGGCCAAGGCCUCCUAUGAGAAAUCCCACUCGUGUGCACUGUGAUCAGGCAUUGCCUUGCUGUGAUAAUAACUCCCCUGGGCCGAGAGCUACAAUAAAAAGAAAACGAAGAUAAAGAAACAGAGGGAAACAGAAACCAUCCAUAAUCCUACUCCUUCAAAGACAGCUACAGUCAAAUUCUCAUGUAACUCCUUCUCUUUUGGCAAGAAUAUUAUACCCUACAAAGGUCUCUGGUGUGGAUUUAAAAUACUACAAGUCACCCAAUAUUACGAAUAAAAGAAACAAAAAGAAUAGAAAUUCCACCAUAGAGUAUACUUGAUAUCUACUUCUGAUGAUUAUUUUCUUAUAAAAAGAACACAUCCACAUAAUUUUACAUCCUUCUAUACAAUCAAAAUUUACUUUAAUC
rnacentral:lncRNA from 1 species